UGAGAUACUAAGAAAUAUGAAUGAUAACGAUGUGCUCGAGAAUCCCCUGGAGCUCAACUCCCCGGAAGAAGAUCAAGUCAGACAGGAGGCACCAAGACAGAACUUCGUCACAUCGGCAUCAUAUAGAUUCCAAGAAUAUCCGCGUGAUCCUAAAAUUUUUGAGUGAGAAGAGGAGUAGAGUAAAUUAUUACGUCAAGAUUCCUUACCAGAGCAUAGAAGAGGAGAAAAAAGAAUCCUACUCUCAGAUAUAUAACUAGACUCAAAUAGUUUUUCACUAGACUCGACUCGGCCAAGUUCGAUCAAUCAAGGGGGCUCCUAGGUCGGUCCUUGCUCUGAUACCAACUUGUCACGCCCAAAAUGCGACCCUAUCCUCAAUUUGGCACGAGGGCCUCGUCAGGGAUAGAAGCGCAUCUCGUCGUGUCGCAAGAAUGGAUAUCGUUACAAGUACAUGUACUGAAAAGAUGAGAUAUAUAAAGGGUUGGCUUACACUCGCCACAAGCUACAUCAGAGUCACAUCAGUACAUUACGUAAUCAUCAAGAGUAAGAGCAGGGUCCGACUACGGACGAAAACAAACGACAAAAGAAGAACGACGUCCAUCCUUGCUAUCCCAGGCUGCCGGCCUGGAACCCGUCCUAGAUCGAAGAAGAAGAAGAAGAUGAAGAAGCAACUCCAAAUGAACAAUCAACGCGCUCGCGUCAUGUAACCUUUACCUGUACCUGCAACUGGUGUUGUAGUAAUCUGUGAGCCACAGGGGACUCAGCAAUCUCAUUUCCAAAGGUAUCAAGACUAGCAAAUCUUAAUGGGUGAGGCAUAGUUAAAUGGUGAGGUUGCAGCAGCGACUAAGCAUAUAUUUGGUGUCUAACUUACGAGUACAAGAAAUAAGAGGGGGGAUCUACGCAUAACGGACGUUACUACAGAUGAUCAAAAGAAUGAUCCUGAACACCUACCUACGUCAGACAUAACCCCACCGUGUCCUCGAUCGGAGAAGGAACUCACGAAAGAGACAGUCACGGUUACGCACACAGUUGGCAUGUUUUAAUUAAGUUAACUUCAAGUUAUCUAGAACCAGUGUUAAACAAAGCUUCCACGUUGCCACAUAACCGCGGGCACGGCUUUCCGAAAGAUUUAACCCUGCAGGGGUGCUCCAACUAGUCCAUCACAAAUUACCACAAGCCGCAUAGAAGUCCUCAAUCACGAAGCUCGCGAUCUCGUCGGACUCCCUAGUGGAAAACCUCAACUCUGAGAUUACCCAAAGAAUCACCGGAAUCCCGAUGCACAAGAUAUCUCGUCAAAGGUAAAACUAAUCCAGCAAGGCCGCCCGACGUGUCGACGAUCCUGAUACGAGUCGCGUACCUCGUUCUCAGGACACGGCGGAUGAGCUAGACGUCGGGAUCGCUAAACCUCCGGGUGACCAGAGGGGCGCCGGACAUCGCUCAGGUGGGACCAACACUCAUGAGGAGCACUGGCCCGGGGGUUGAUUAAAUUAUCCUCGGGGUCCGGAAAGUCCCUAUGCAAUUUUAUUAGGUGUUUAGGCAAAUGUAGUACCAAAGUUGGGCCCUGCCAGACCAGCUUUAAUCUAAAACGAAUUAUCAAGGGGGUCCCCAUAACAACCCCGAUCGUGUUAGGAGCGCUCAUUUAUGGAACAUAACACCGGUAGCCAAAACUAAGGGGGCAAAGGUGGAACAAAACACCAGGCUAGAAAGGCCGAGCCUUCCACCUUUUACCAGGUAUAUAGGUGCAUUCAAAUAGAAAGCAUAAAAUAUGGUGAUAUAACAAGGAACCCAUGCUUUGCAUGGAAGCAAUGCACCUGCAACUAGCAACGCUAUCAACAGGGUUAAGCAAGCAGUAACAUAGCCAAUCAGUGGUUUGCUAGGGUGAACAGGUUGAUGGUUUCAUGGCAUUGUAGAGAGGCUGAUAUUUAACAGGUGGUAGGCAACGAGACGUAAACGAUAGCAACGGUAAAACUAGCAUGGCAAUGAUAGUAAUGGUAUCUGGGGAAAUGAUCAUCUUGCCUGAGAUCCCGCUUGGAAGAAGAAUGACUCCGCGAAGCAGACGAACCGACGUAGUCGAACGGCCCUCACAUCCGACACGCUUGCGGAACUCUAUCGAGACGGAGGAAACCGGAAACAAGCAUCAACACACGAUAUACACCACACGAUGCAAGACACACAUGAUGCAUGAACGGUCUAAUGCAAAGCGUGACAAUCACAACAAUCAAACACUACACAUUAAGUGAAGCUCGAUAUGCAACGAGUUGCAUAUCGACGAAACUCCACGUUGAAUUAUUUAGUUCACUCCCGUUCAGGUACACGAAUAUAUUAAAUGUUGUUAAACCUGGCACGAGGGUGAAGCACAAAUUAAUCUACCUAGCUAGUCAUUUUAAAUGAGACCGGAAACGACAUAUAGCAUCUCCGAAAUGACCCCACGUGUUAAAUCU
rnacentral:lncRNA from 1 species